rnacentral:lncRNA from 1 species
AUUCACAAAGAUUUUCUCCCAUUCUGUGGAUUAUCAUUUUUCUGUUUGUUUGUUUUUUAGUGGUUUCCUUUGCUGUGCAAAAGCAUUUCAGUUUAAUUAGGUCCCAUUGGUUUAUUUUUGUUUUUAUUGUCAUUAUUCUAGCAGAUGGGUCAAACAAGAUGUUGCUGUGAUUUAUAUGAAAGAGCCUUCGGUGUAUGUUUUUCUCUAGGAGUUUAAUAGUAUCUGGCCUUAUGCUUAGGUUGAGUUCAUUUUUCUGUAUGAUGUUAGAGAAUGUUCUAAUUUCAUUCUUUUUCAUGUAGCUAUCCAGUUUCCCCAGCACUUAUUGAAGUGACUGUCUUUCCUCCACUGUAUGUUCUUGCCUCCUUUGUCAUAUAUUGGUUGACCAUACGUGUUUGUGUUUAUUUUUGGGCUUUCUAUCCUGUUCCAAUGAUCUAUAUUUCUGUUUUUACCCCAGUACCAUACUGUUUUGAAUACUAUAGCUUUGUAGUAUAGUCUGAAGUAAGGAAGCCUGAUCCCUCCAGUUCCAUUUUUCUUUUUAAAUAUUGCUUUGGCUUUUUGAGGUCUUUUUUGUUUCCAUACAAAUUUUAAAAUAUAUUUUUCUAGUUCUGUUAGGAGUAUCAUUGGUAAGGGAAACCAUCCCAUUUACCUUUGCACCAAAAAGAAUAAAAUACAUAGGAAUAAAACUACCUAAAGAGACAAAAGACUCUGAAAACUAUAAGACACUGCUGAAAGAAAUCAAAGAUGACACAAACAUAUGGAAAGAUAAACCAUUUUCUUAGACUGGGACAACCAAUUUUCUCAAAAUGACUGCAUAACCCAAGGCAUAUAGAUUCAAUGCAGUCUCUUUCAAAUUUUACUUUAUUUUACUAACCCAUUUAUGUUUAUAAGACUAUCACUUUUGUAUUGAAUUUUACAUUAAGUUGCUUCUAUUUAGAAAUAUUAUUUUCAAGUUUUAAAACCUUUUAGCCAAUUUUAGAUCCAUUUGACAUCUUAUGUAAAUGUCCGUUAGCAUUAUUAGCAGUAAACAACAAUUCUGGUAACUGUCUUAGUAUAGUGGAAACUCAAACUUAAUUUAGUUACUGCUCAAAAACAUCAUCAUUCAUUCUUUAUACCUUAUAGUUACUAUUCCCAAUGUGCUUGAGAAUGGUCAUUAAAUAAAGUUUAAUGUAUAUUUCAUCAAGAUGCUCCAUUUUGGAGCACUUCAAAAAAAGUGCUGCAUGUGAGAUGUGAAUUGUUUAAAAUAACGCCAUUGCUAUAGACACUGUUGAAGACCCAUUUCAUAGUAAUAAAUUCAGACUGUGCAUAACAACCACCACAAAGGGCAUUAUCCAGAUUGGGCUAAAAAUCUAACUUGUACAUACUUUUCUUUCCCAAUAUAUUAGUGCCAUUUUCAUAAAGGUGCCUCUAGCAAUCUCUUAAACCAAUGUCUAAUAUUGGAAGUUAUGUUUGCCUCUAGCAAUCUCUUAAACUAAAGCCUAAUACUGCAAGUUAUGUUUUUAGUUACUCACUUAAGCCAAUUAUAUUUUUAAUAAAUCAAUGAAAAUGUUCAUUAAUUUCAACUUUUGUUUUCAAUGACCAGUGUUUCACCAAUAUAUACAAUAAAUUUUAAUUGUCCAGUAUUUGUCACUGACACAAGUUGAACUGAAUAAUAUGUAACUUUGAUCAUUUCAUGUUCUCUUUUUUCUCACUUUAUCAAUUACUGAUUAAUCAUUUCAUGAUCAAUCUUAAUCCCAUUUUUUAAAACUUUCUUACAUGUUUGGACCAUUGGUAUUAACAAGGAAAUCUGGAAGAGAAAAAGAUGUUUUUACAGUUGAUAUAUAGUAGGGAUGCCAGCCAGCAAAGAACUGUUUUCAAAGAUUCAUCGGGGCAGGAAUCUUACAGGAGUCUGGUGGUGGAGGCCACUCAUAGGACAAGGAGCAGAGGUUCAUGAAAGAGGACCUGCAAAAUUUGUAGUGUCCUGGCAGAGAAGUUUUCACUAAAACAUGAAAUAAGUCAGCAUGAUCUUGAAUAAAAGGAUUUUGGAUUUUCAUGGGGCAGUUCUUAUUUUUCAGUAACAACAGUUUUUUAAGUCAAGAUCACAUAGACUUUUUCAGCUGGGGUGAACGGAGCCAGGAAAAGACACUGUGAUCAAAGACGGAUUCAAGAUGGUUUAGAGAAGUAUAUGCAACUUUUAGGACUUGAAUUUCAACAUGAUGAGAAACCAGAGAAUUAUUGCUCAGCUAAAUGUAUAUCCCUGGAAAAUGAUACUUUGCCACACAAAAAUCUACUGCAUUCACAGGAAAAUUCAUUCCCGAGAAAAAACAUUUGGAGAAAAUGUUUGAGGAGUUCAAUUAAUUAGACUUUUCUGUCACCUAAGUGAUUUUCUACUCCAAGGCUCCCCAUACUUUCCAGCAGUGUCUAUUCAGAAGUCAGCAGUACAAGCCACCAGAUGUCCUUGCCUUUGAGUCACCGCCCUUGUUGGAAAGACAAAGAGUAGGAGAUAGGGGAGAGUUUUUCCUCAAGGCUUGAAUAGUGAGGGUCACUAGACUGAAGGCUUGGUGUUAUGGAUCUGGCUGUGCUACAGCUGGAUGUGGGGUUCCCAGUGAUAAAAGUGCCCAUGGUUUCUUUAACACAUUUAAAUAUACAUGUGCAUGCGCAUGCGUGAUUGUGAGAUGCACAGCCCUGAAGUGUGGGGCCCCAGGCUCAGGACAGUGCUAUUCUUGGUUACACUUCUUUUCAAAGCUGUACCAUGAACAGCUGAGAUAAAGUCACUCAAUCACAGUGAAAAAUAGAAUUGGAUAUUGCCUGUAAUAGGGUCAAAACUGUAAACAGUUAUUUCCCUCUUAAUAAAAUUUGUUUGUAACUCUUACAGAAUAUAUUUUAAACCAGCCAGCCAGUUACUUUGUGUGCCAUGUGGUUAAACAGGAGAGUAAAAGCUGACUGCCAUCAAAAUAAAUAUCCCUGGCUGGCAUGACUUCAGUAAUUUACCUAGCCUAAGGUCAUUCUAAAGCAGUUUAAAUGCAUCAUUAAUCCACAAUCCUCUAAAACACUAAAAUACUUAAAUAAAUUACAACAGAGUAGGAUGAGCCUGAAGAGAGGAAAAACUGUCAAGAUAUGAUACAUUUAAAUGAUGCCAAAAAAAAGGUCUCUAAGACUCAUGAAUAAAUUACUGCUAAAAUGAAAGGCAGGAUAAAAAGCCUAAAGGACAUGGUACAUCCAGUUUUAUUUGGCCCAAAAAGAUUAAGGAAAUGAAUCUUGGAUUUCAACUUUCUGCUUAUGCAUUCUCAUUCACUUAGUUUUAACCUUAGUUAACUCAAAAUUUUAAUGUUCAUUUUUAUUACCUUUGUUCNGUGUGUGUGUGUGUGUGUGUGUGUGUGUGUGUUGUGUGUUAUGGAAGUUGAGGGUUACUAUGAUCAAAUCUUACAUACACAGAGAAAUUAGGAGGAGACAGUAAAUUGGGGACAAAUCUAUGAUAUAUAAAUUACCAAGGACCUUAUUUUUCCUUAAACAGAUAAUCCUCAAAUAUUUUAUACUGUCCUGCCUUCCAGAUAAAUUCCUGACCAAUCUAGUAAGGUAGCUAUAAAUAAAGUCAGAGAUUAUCAAAUCAUAUGCAAAUUUGUGAACAAGCUUAAACAUUCAUUAAGGUCUGGAUUUUGAGGCAGCAGAUUUUAACAGGACUAGAAACACACGUUCUGAGCUCCUCUUCUUACCAAUUUUCUAUGAUAAUCAUGUCAGAACUGUCAGCUUUGUUCCUUUGUUACACGUGCCUCCCAUGUGUGUGACAUAUCUGCAAGCCUUUCUAUUAACUGUGUUAUCCCCACUACCAUAUAAGAAAUAUUCCAGGCUUUCCUUUCCUAUGUUUGGAGUUGAUCACUUUUUCGGUAGGUCCUGGCUUGGGCUGUCAUAGACCAAAAUACUCAGGAUAGAGCAAGGAGACCCAGGCCCGAGGACACAGAAAGGCUUGAGGUGGAAGAGGGUAGACGGUGGGGCUUGAGGGCCCUCCACGCAGCAUAGCAGUUAGUCAACUGCACAGAAACAGAGCAUUGAAUCAUGGUUGCCAGGGGCUAAAAUUGGAGGAGACGAAGAGCUGCUAUUCAGAGGGCAUAAGGUAUCAGUUAUGCAAGAUGAUUAAGGUACAGAGCCCUGCUGGGCAAUGCUUGCCCACAGUUCACAACGCUGUAUUGAGCCCUCAACAAUUGAAGAGGGUUGAUCUCAUGUUAAGUGUUCUUAUCACAAUAACAAUAAUAAUAAUAAUGAUAAUAAUAAUAAAGCUGCACCUGUGCUUUCUUUACUUGUGGGUAAUCUGACAUGUUCCUUAUUGUUGACUACCAAGCUCUGGGGUUCCCUGUAAAGAACCAAGGCUGAGGAUAUGUGUCCAUUCUGAGUAGGUUUCAUAUUUAUCCUUUAUGCAGACAAUUUUCCACCCUGGAUCACCACUUUGUUCCGUAGCCCAACAUCUUUAUACCUUCUUAAGUUGAAAAUUAUGCACAUACACACACAAACCCCCCACACUAUAACUACUAUUAAAAACUCAUGUUUUGAACAGAAAUGCGUAAGUGCAUAUAUUCAUGUGAUUUUUCUGUGAGGUGAAACAGUAGGAUAUAUUUAACUCGAUAACCAUUUGUUCAGUAUUUAUGCUGUCAAUGGUACUGGGCAGGAAAGAACAAGGGGAAAAGGGAAAACAAGAGCAAUAUAUUGUUAAGUGGCUUUGGAGCUUACUUAUGCCAGCAACGAAAAUAUCUAAAAUAAAGAUAAGAAUAAUAAAUUGGAAACUUCUUCACCCACAAUCAAAGCAAAGAAAGAAAUGGAUAAAAGAGUGGAGGAAUAAAGUAGACAGAAAAGUCUUAAUGAAGAAAGUUAUAGACUAUGAGCCCAGCGUUACACUGGAGCUUCCUGCAGGCAGGGGUAAAUGACCAUGAUUGUCUAGGAUUAAAAAUUUUAAAAAAUAUAAACAAACAUCUGCACUCUAGACCAGAUUAUAGUAGGUAU